GCUCCUCGGCGGCGGUACGCGGGCGCGCAGCUCCCCGGCGCUGGCGAGAGGCUGGCUCCGGUCGGCUCCUCGCUCGGCGAGCUCUGCGGUCGCGGAGGCGGGUGCGGAGCUGGAAGUUGAAACAAGAAGAGGGGACUCAAGUAAUGAGGAAAUAAGCUGAAAACUGGGGAAAGAAAUGAACCCUAUGCCAAAAAUAAAGGCUUGCAUAAAUUGA